UACGGAGGGGGCUAGCGUUGUUCGGAAUUACUGGGCGUAAAGCGCGCGUAGGCGGACCUGCAAGUCGGGGGUGAAAGCCCGAGGCUCAACCUCGGAAUUGCCUUCGAUACUGCGGGUCUCGAGUCCGGGAGAGGUGAGUGGAAUUCCUAGUGUAGAGGUGAAAUUCGUAGAUAUUAGGAAGAACACCAGUGGCGAAGGCGGCUCACUGGCCCGGUACUGACGCUGAGGCGCGAAAGCUGGGGGAGCAAACGGG
rnacentral:rRNA from 1 species